UCUUCUUACUCCAACCUAAUUUUGUUACGACGUCUACAGAAGACCUUCUAGAACUCACUGUCUUCCUAUCUCAUCCGUAUAGCGCCUGCGAUGGCUAUAAUGAAGAAUUAAAGCUACUUAAUACUCCUCCAGACAAAUCGGCGUCUAACUCUCCACAUCUCUCCUCUUACUCAAUCAUAACGAUGCCUCCUCAAGCCAAAAAUCUAUUGCUCACAUCCUCAAAUCCAUUCCUAGCUUUAUGGCAAAUCAAACGGCAGUCAUCACCACCCAAGUUCAUUCUCUACUUUCUUCAGUAAGGUUUCAUCAGGACAUGGAGAUUCCCAGUUGCUUUUUAAGCUAAAUGGCCUAUUACGCAGCACAGAUUCGUGGCCCAACAACUUAACAUCCAUGAUGACAUGGACAAAUGAUAGGUUGCGAAUUUUUUCGCUGACGUGGACAGCUUAAGAGGGCUUCAUAUUCUCCUUUUAACUAAUCUUAAAAAUUAUAUCUGAACGUUAAAAAUUCUUAGGUGUUGAGUUUCAGGAUAAAAUCUUGUUAACAUAUUCUCUCUCUGUUAGAAAAAAUCAGAGACGUGUAUGAAAUCAGAAGCAUAAUAUUGAAAUAUGGACACAUACCUCUUCAUCAAUCAUCAGCAUCUCAAGGCCGAGAAGGAUGCCUCCUUUGGAAUUAUUGCGAGCUUUCCAGAAAUAGAUUAGCUUAAAAAGCAACUGGGAAUCUCCAUGUCCUGAUGAAACCUUACUGAAGAAAGUAGAGAAUGAACUUGGGUGGUGAUGACUGCCGUUUGAUUUGCCAUAAAGCUAGGAAUGGAUUUGAGGAUGUGAGCAAUAGAUUUUUGGCUUGAGGAGGCAUCGUUAUGAUUGAGUAAGAGGAGAGAUGUGGAGAGUUAGACGCCGAUUUGUCUGGAGGAGUAUUAAGUAGCUUUAAUUCUUCAUUAUAGCCGUCGCAGGCGCUAUACGGAUGAGAUAGGAAGACAGUGAGUUCUAGAAGGUCUUCUGUAGACGUCGUAACAAAAUUAGGUUGAAGUAAGAAGAUUGCAAAACAAAUGGGUCAUUAAAGCUAAAGGGCCUAUUACGCAGCACAAAUUCGUGGCCCAACAACUUAACAUUCAUGAUGACAUGGACAAAUGAUUGGUUGCGAAUUUUUUCGCUGACGUGGACAGCUUAAGAGGGCUUCAUAUUCUCCUUUUAAUUCCAACUUGAAUUAGGGAGAUCAAUUUCUUGAACUCCGAUUAAGCUCCUCAUUUGCUUGAACAUAAUCCUUGCUAAUGGCUUGGUAAGGAUGUCGGCCUUCUGCUCAACACCCGACACAUGCUCCACUUCGAUCUGCCCGUUCUCCACACACUCACGAAUGAAGUGAUACUUCUUGAGUACAUGCUUACUCCUUCCAUGGAAAACUGGAUUCUUGGUUAGAGCAAUGGCUGAUUUGUUGUCGAUCCUAAGCUUGACUCUCUCACCUUCUUUGCUUAGUAUCUCACUCAACAAUUCCUUGAUCCAUAUAGCUUGCUUCGCUGCUUCUGUUGCUUCCAUGAACUCUGGUUCGCAUGAUGACAAUGCAACUGUCUGCUGCUUCUGCGAUGUCCAAGUGAUCAGUGAUGAACCGUAGUAGAAUGCAUGACGUGACGUGCUCCUCCCGUCAUCGAGAUCAAUGUUGUGACUGCUGUCACUAUAACCAACGACACUCCUUGACCCAUCUCUCUUGAAGAACAUACCGUAGUUUGUUGUUCCUUUCACAUACCGCAAUAUGUGCUUGAUGGCUUGUCCGUGAGAGUCUCUCGGAUUGUGCAUGUAUCGGCUAAGAACACCUACUGCAUAACACAGGUCGGGUCUUGUGUGAAGCAGAUACCUCAAACAUCCUAUGAUUCUUCUGAGCUCGGUAGCAUCUAUCUCUCGCUCAUCUUCAGCUUUUGAGAUCUUCAAAUUCGCCUCCAUUGGAAUUUGAGUUGCGUUACACGCUUCCAUCUUUGUGUCACGCAGGAUUCCUUGAGCAUACCUCUCUUGUUUUAUUCUGAUUCCGUCUGCUCCUUGAAUCACCUCUAUGCCAAGGUAGUACGUUAGCUUACCUAGAUCUGACAUCUCGAACUUCUUAGACAUCUCCUCCUUGAAUUUCCUAAUCACCUUAAGUGAAGUUCCUGUCACAAAUAGAUCAUCAACGUAGAUGGCAAUGAUCAAGACGUCUCCUCCUUUAGUCUUGCAGUACACUGAUGGUUCCUUCGUGCACUUUUCAAAUCUCAUCUCCUUGAGAACCUGAUCAAGUUUCACACUCCAUGCUCUGGGUGCCUGGCGUAACACAUGCAACGUCUUGUGUAACACACAAACUCGAUCCUCUUCUCCUUUCUUCUCAGAACCAGUUGGUCUAUCUACAAGCUCCCAUAUCUUGUUUCUUGUGAUAGACUCCAACUCGUCUUCCAUAGCUUCAACCCAAUCUUCUUCACAAGAUAAGUUGAACUCAUCGGAGGCAAUCUCUCCUCCUCUAUCGGUGCAUCCUAGAUUGAACACAUCUGAGGCAACCUCUCCUCCUCUAUCGGUGCAACCUAGAUUGAACAUAGCUGAGGCAAGCUCUCCUCCUCUAUCGGUGUGAGAUCUUUUGAACCGAUAGAAUGCCUCAUGAUUAUCUGCUGUCGUUGGUGGUGCGGUUUGUCCACUCAAAUCUCCAAGCAAUAAUAUUAAUGGCUUUGAUGUACGAACCAUGGCCUUAGUCAGGAGUGAGUCUCUGGUUUGCUUCCCUGCGAGACAUGUGUCACACACGCCUUCUUCGUGUGUUUCACUCGGGAAUGAGUGUCUCGUUUGCUUCCAUGCGAGACAUGUGUCACACACGCCUUCUUCGUGUGUUACACUCUGCAUUCCUACGACCAUCUCCUUCCUUACCAUGUUGUUCAUCACUCCAUAGCAUAUAUGUCCUUGUCGAGUAUGCCACCUCCAUGUAGCAUCUACGUCCCUGACAUGUAAACACUCCGGGUAGCUUAUCUCCAUAGGGGUCUUGUAUAGACGGUUUGGAGAUCUUGUCACACGAACUAGCAACCUUCCAUGCGAAUCUGUGAGCGUUAAGUAGACAUCUUUCAUGUUAACCUCACAUCCGUUUUCUGUUGCUUGCCCAAGACUCAAUAUAUUGUGCUUCAGAUCGGGUAUGUAGUAUAUGUCCUUGAGUGCCUUCUUCUCUCCAGUCUUGCACACAAAGGUAACCACACCCUUUCCUACAAUGUCAACACACGAUCCAUCACCAAACUUCACCUUCCCUUUGGUGUUGAGAUUCAAACUCGAAAAUAACUCCUUGUUCCCUGUCAUGUGAUUGCUCGCUCCAUUAUCCAAAUACCAGACACUUGCACUGCCUUUGUCGAUAUCAAGAUUCUUCGGAAUCACCUUAUCUUCGUUCAAAAACACCACCUCGUGUACAUAGAGUGCAUCAGCCUCUUCUGUCUCGUUUAGGUUGGUUUCUUGAUUCUUCUCUGUCUUUUCGGGACAGACAGUUGCGUAGUGACCAGGCUUGUCACAUCUCCAAUAUCAGCUUUGAACGAUUCUUCUUCGAGUUGAUAUCUUUGGUGUGUGACGCACGGUUUUGGUUGUGUGACCUACCUCGACCUCUGCCUCUACCAUUCCGUCCUCUUCCUCUACCACGGGAAUUCUCAUAGCCCCUCUGACUAUGCUCUUCAUUGUUCGAAAACAUCAGUUUCCCUUGGUCUUCUUUCUGAGUUUCUUCUCCUACACGCUCCUCGUACGCCUUAAGCCUUCCAACUAUGUCUUCAAACCCCGUCGAGUUGAGAUCUAGGACUUGCUCAAGUGAUGCUACGAUCUGGAUAUACUUGUGUCUUGGAAGACCCUUCAAGAACUUCUUGACCAUCUUGGAUUCUUCUAUGUUUUCUCCCAACGAGGUUGCUUUGGAUGAUAGGCCCGAUAUCUUCCCCGCGAAGUCAUCGACCGUAUCUCCAUCAUCCAUCUUCAACCUAUCAAACUCCAUCAUCAACGUCUGAAGUCUCGCCUCCCUUACACGAUCAGCUCCUAGGUGUCGCGACUUGAUGGCAUUCCAGAUCUCUUUUGAUGCGGUUUGUUCUCCCACCUGGAGAAUCAAAGUCUCUGGAACAGAUUGAAACAAAAGAGCUAUCGCAACAUCGUUCUUCUUUUGAUCAUCUGAACCGGGUUCGAUUGUGCCCCACAUUUCAUGAACACGUAGUAGAACCUUCAUCCUCAUCGACCAAACUGUGUAGUUUGUCGGUGACAACAUCGGACAUUGGAUGGAUGUAGAUCCAAAGUCCUUCAUGCGUGGAGCCCUAGUCACGUCAGCCAUCUUGCCGUCGCGAUCUCUUGUUCACAAGCACCAGGAUCUUAAGCUACAACUUAAGCUUAGAUCGAGUCUCCAACCUGAGAUUAAGCUACAAUUUAGCUUUCAUGACCUAUUUGUUUUGCCAUCUUCUUACUCCAACCUAAUUUUGUUACGACGUCUACAGAGGACCUUCCAGAACUCACUGUCUUCCUAUCUCCUCCGUAUAACGCCUACGACGGCUAUAAUGAAGAAUUAAAGCUACUUAAUUACUCCUCCAGACAAAUCGGUCUCCACAUCCCUCCUCUUACUCAAUCAUAACGAUGCCUCCUCAAGCCAAAAAUCUAUUGCUCAGAUCCUCAAAUACAUUCCUAACUUUAUGGCAAAUUAAACGGCAGUCACCACUACCCAAGUUCAUUCUCUACUUUUCUUCAGUAAGGUUUCAUCAGGACCUGGAGAUUCCCAGUUGCUUUUUAAGCUAAUCUAUUUCAAGAAAGCUCGCAAUAAUUCCAAAGGAGACAUCCUUUUCGGCCUUGAGAUGCUGAUGAUUGAUGAAGAGGUAUGUGUCCAUAUUUCAAUAUUAUGCUUCCGAUUUCAUACACGUCUCUGAUUUUUUCUAACAGAGAGAGAAUAUGUUAACAAGAUUCUAUCAUGAAACUCAACACCUAAGAAUUUUUAACGUUAAGAGAUAAUUUUUAAGAUUAGUUAAAAGGAGAAUAUGAAGCCCUCUUAAGCUGUCCACGUCAGCGAAAAAAUUCGCAACCAAUCAUUUGUCUAUGUCAACAUGGAUGUUAAGUUGUUGGGCCACGAAUCUGUGCUGCGUAAUAGACCCUUUAGUUUUAAUGACCCAUUUGUUUUGCCAUCUUCUUACUCCAACCUAAUUUUGUUACAACGUCUACAGAAGACCUUCCAGAACUCACUGUCUUCCUAUCUCCUCCGUAUAACGCAUGCGACGACUAUAAUGAAGAAUUAAAGCUACUUAAUUACUCCUCCAGACAAAUCGGCGUCUAACUCUCCACAUCCCUCCUCUUACUCAAUCAUAACGAUGCCUCCUCAAGCCAAAAAUCUAUUGCUCAGAUC
rnacentral:lncRNA from 1 species